UACGUAGGGACCAAGCGUUGUCCGGAAUCAUUGGGCGUAAAGGGCGCGUAGGCGGCCUGAUAAGUAGGGGGUGAAAUCCUGCGGCUUAACCGCAGGGCUGCCUUCUAAACUGUCGGGCUAGAGCACGGUAGAGGCAGAUGGAAUUCCCGGUGUAGCGGUGGAAUGCGUAGAGAUCGGGAAGAACAUCAGUGGCGAAGGCGGUCUGCUGGGCCGUUGCUGACGCUGAGGCGCGACAGCGUGGGGAGCAAACAGG
rnacentral:rRNA from 1 species